AUUGAACGCUGGCGGCAGGCCUAACACAUGCAAGUCGAACGAGUGGCGGACGGGUGAGUAAUGUCUGGGAAACUGCCUGAUGGAGGGGGAUAACUACUGGAAACGGUAGCUAAUACCGCAUACCAUCAGAUGUGCCCAGAUGGGAUUAGCUAGUAGGUGGGGUAAUGGCUCACCUAGGCGACGAUCCCUAGCUGGUCUGAGAGGAUGACCAGCAACACUGGAACUGAGACACGGUGCAGACUCCGAGGGGAGGCAGCAGUGGGGAAUAUUGCACAAUGGGCGCAAGCCGGAUGCAGCCAUGCCGCGUGUGUGAAGAAGGCCUUCGGGUUGUAAAGUACGUUCAGCGAGGAGGCGUUACUCGCAGAAGAAGCACCGGCUAACUCCGUGCCAGCAGCCGCGGUAAUAC
rnacentral:rRNA from 1 species